rnacentral:rRNA from 1 species
UACGAAGGGGGCUAGCGUUGCUCGGAAUCACUGGGCGUAAAGCGCACGUAGGCGGAUUGCUAAGUCAGGGGUGAAAUCCUGGAGCUCAACUCCAGAACUGCCUUUGAUACUGGUGAUCUUGAGUUCGGGAGAGGUGAGUGGAACUGCGAGUGUAGAGGUGAAAUUCGUAGAUAUUCGCAAGAACACCAGUGGCAAAGGCGGCUCACUGGCCCGAUACUGACGCUGAGGCACGAAAGCGUGGGGAGCAAACAGG